rnacentral:RNase_P_RNA from 1 species
AGAGUCGGCCAGACAACCGCCGGAUUUCCAAGGAAAUUCCGGAGGAAAGUCCGGGCUCCCAAAGGCAGGGCGCCAGGUAACGCCUGGAGGGCGCGAGCCCAUGGAAAGUGCCACAGAAAAGAUACCGCCGGGUCUUCGGGCCCGGUAAGGGUGAAAAGGUGCGGUAAGAGCGCACCGCGCGGGUGGUAACACGCCGCGGCACGGUAAACCCCGCCCGGAGCAAGACCAAAUAGGGGAGCAGGUAGGCAUUACGCCUCGACCGCAGGCCUGAGCGGGCUCCCGGGUAGGUCGCUAGAGGCAGCCGGUGACGGCUGUCCCAGAUGAAUGGUUGUCCUCGACAGAACCCGGCUUAUGGCUGGCUCUCUCU